GCGCCCGGAAACUUGUUUUCCGGGUGAGGAAAGUCCGGGCUCCUCCGGAAAUGACGCCGGCUAACGGCCGGGCGCCGGAAAUGUAAAUUCCCGGCGACAGACAGUGCCACAGAAAAUACACUGCCCGGCAUCCGCCGGGUGAGGGUGAAAAGGCGGGGUAAGAGCCCACCGCGUUUCCGGCAACGGAACGGCAUGGUAAACCUCGUCAGGAGCAAGACCGAGCAGUAAAGGGUUUCCGGCCUAUUUUACGGGUUGGUCGCGGAAGGCGCACGGCAACGUGCGUUCCAGACAGAUGGUCUCGACGCGUUUUUCGGAACGCGGACAGAACCCGGCUUACCAACCCUCUG
rnacentral:RNase_P_RNA from 1 species